CGAAAGCCUGACGGAGCAAGACCGCGUGAGGGAGGAAGGCUCUUGGGUUGUAAACCCCUUUUCUCAGGGAAGAAACCUGACGGUACCUGAGGAAAAAGCCUCGGCUAACUCCGUGCCAGCAGCCGCGGUAAUACGGAGGAGGCAAGCGUUAUCCGGAAUUACUGGGCGUAAAGCGUCCGCAGGGGGCUCAUCAAGUCUGCUGUCAAAGGUCGGAGCUUAACUCCGGUUCGGCAGUGGAAACUGGUGGGCUAGAGGGCGACAGGGGUAGAGGGAAUUCCCAGUGUAGCGGUGAAAUGCGUAGAGAUUGGGAAGAACACCGGUGGCGAAAGCGCUCUACUGGGUCGCGCCUGACCCUCAGGGACGAAAGCUAAGGUAGCG
rnacentral:rRNA from 1 species